AUUGAACGCUGGCGGCAGGCCUAACACAUGCAAGUCGAACGAGUGGCGGACGGGUGAGUAAUGUCUGGGAAACUGCCCGAUGGAGGGGGAUAACUACUGGAAACGGUAGCUAAUACCGCAUACCAUCGGUUGUGCGCAGAUGGGUUUAGCUAGUGGGUGGGUUAACGGCUCACCUAGGCGGCGAUCCCUAGCUGAGCUGAGAGGCUGACCGGCCACACUGGAACUGAGACACGGUCCAGACUCCUACGGGAGGCAGCAGUAGGGAAUAUUGCGCAAUGGGUGAAAGCCUGAUCCAGCAAUGCCGCGUGAAUGAAGAAGGCCUUCGGGUUGUAAAGUACUUUCAGCGAGGAAGCGGUACUCGAAGAGGAAGCAACGGCUAACUCCGUGCCAGCAGCCGCGGUAAUUG
rnacentral:rRNA from 1 species